AAAGAUCAACUCUAACAUGAGAGGUCUGUUCAUAAGUCUGAUAACAGCAGGGAAGAAGCUGUUCUUGAAUCUGUUGGUAUGUGCUGCCUGAUGGAGGGUGGAAGAGUAUAACUGGUGUGGGAGGGGGUCUGUGAUUAUAUUGGCUGCUUUCUGUUGCAGCUGGAAGUAUAAUUUGUGUGAUGGACUGGAUGGUGUUCACAACUCUGUAAUGUCUUGUGGUCUGGGACAAGGCAGUUGCUGUACCAUACUGUGAUGCAUAGGAGUAGGAUGCUUUCUAUGGUGCAUUGAUAAAAAUUGGUCUGAGUCCUUGUGAAUAUGCCAAACACUGAUACUUGGAUGUGUCACCCUGCUGUUCUCUCAUUACCCUGCAGGAAUACGCAGUGACUGUGAGCUGGCCAUCUUCAUCGAUCUGGGAAAGGCCAUCAAGGGUAACUCUCCCCACUGCUUUAAUUCACUCCUCAUCCCCUGCACUGCCCACUCUGCGGUAUUGCUCAGAGCUUCUCGGUUAUCUUUCAGAUGGAAUCCCCUUUUAUUUUUCCACCAAUCGGGUGAUUUUGACGCCAGGCAACGAGGAUGGGGUUUUGCCUCCGAAAUAUUUCCAGAGAGUUGUGCAGCUGAAACCAUCCAGAUGUGUACUCCCCGUUGAUUGACAGAGAACCCCCAGGUUCAGGACCUUCCUGGACUGGCAGAAGGAUAGCUCCACGCACAGGAACAGGUCACUGAGCCCAAGCAACCAGGAUAUUAAAGCAAUCACAAACUCA